UACGGAGGGGGCUAGCGUUGUUCGGAAUUACUGGGCGUAAAGCGCGCGUAGGCGGACCUGCAAGUCGGGGGGUGAAAGCCCGAGGCUCAACCUCGGAACUGCCUUCGAUACUGCGGGUCUCGAGUCCGGGAGAGGUGAGUGGAAUUCCUAGUGUAGAGGUGAAAUUCGUAGAUAUUAGGAAGAACACCAGUGGCGAAGGCGGCUCACUGGGCUCGGUACUGACGCUGAGGCGCGAAAGCGUGGGGAGCAAACAGG
rnacentral:rRNA from 1 species